CCCGUUCAGUAAAGAGAAAUUUCAGUGAAGAUUUGGAAACGCUAAAGUGAACACUUGAAAAAUAUACGACCACAAUACAAAUUUUGUUUAUAUUAUAGAGUAAAACGUAUUAAAAGAGUUAAAGCAGAGAGUUGAGAAUUUUUAGUUAAAAAGAUUGCGGAAAUCUAUCGAUUCCUUAUCUUUCAAUGCAAUUUUGCUGGUUAAAGGAAACGGUGAAAACUUUUCAAGUGUGAUGUACGCGUGAUUUUUUUUCUUAUGUUUUCUAUGUAGACGGAAGGAAUUUAUUGCAACUAACUUUUCUUUGUGUUUCACUGUCUCGUCCUGUUUUCCUCUCCAUCCUUCCUUUUCGCCUUUUAUUGUUCUUAGCACGUUUGUGGUUUUGAAAGUUUGUUUCUUUCAAAGGAUCGUCGUGACGAUUUGAAAUUGAUUAUCAACGCUGUUGAUAAAAGUUAACAAAUGCCGGAGGUUAGCUGCACCAUGAUAAUGCUUUGGAAUAUCGUUUUUUUUUAGAUCAAAAGCAAUUUACAAACCCACGCCGAUCAUGUUGAACUAUCAUUAGUGGGAAUUAAAAUCGCUAUCAAAGCUAAACAACGUGUAAAUGCUGGUAAAGCACUCAUCCGAUUCACAAUUUUAAAGAAUUCGACUAUCGUAUCAUGUGGAAGCUUCUCGCCAAUAUGAGCUUGAUUCUGCAUCAUUCUAGCACACAGUUUGGCGAGACAUUCAGAAGAAAAAAAUCUACACCAAAAAGGAAGAAAAACAAGCAACCUGCACCAAAAAGGAACAAGAACAAGCAACCUUGCCUGUCAGUGCGCAACUAAAAGUAACCAUAGUUCGACACAAUAUUGUAUAACAGAAAUAGAUGGCAUAGAUUUGGACGAUAGCUCAACGAUAGCGUAUGCGUUUGCACGAUAUCAAGCGUAAAACGUCACACUUUAGCUCUCCUUCGCAUUACUUUAUUACACGUCCACCAAUAAUACAACAUAUAUUCCAUUGUAAAUGCAUCGAACGAGGAGUCCAAUUCGAUACGAAGGCAAUGGAGCACCAUAGGACCAAAAUGUGAUUGUAUCAUUUUGAUCUUUCGUAUCGUAUGAUAGCUCGAGAGAACCGCAAACCGACCCGAGUACGAAAAAUUUAGACAAUAUUUUAUAAUAAACAGCCAACAGCACUACGUCUAGUGAAGAACAAAUAAUUUUCCAUUGUUAUGCUUAUGUUUCAAGAUGUAGAAAUAA